rnacentral:lncRNA from 1 species
GUCCUUCUUUUGGGAAAGAUUGUUGCUUGGUACAUGGUAAGAUCAUUUGUUUGCUUUCAAUCCUAGAAGAUAUAAUGUCUCUGCAUAUUCAAAUUUCUUCAUGGUCAGUUGGGAACUUUCUUGAUUUAAAAUAGAGAUUCGACUAAGAUUUGUUUUUUUUUUUUAUUAUAGGAGAAGCUCCAGGAGAUGUUAACUAUUUUAAGGAGAAAGAAGUAUUAAAAAAAAUAUCCUGAAUUGUGAGUAAGUGAGAGAGGCACUCUGCAAUUUCCAGGGACAGGGUCUCAAAGAGGUGUUUAUAUUUGGAUAUGAGAAAAUGCACCAGUUCUUGUUGGAGGAAGGGCAGCUAUGCUUGCAAGAAAUGGACAAAGAAGCAAUAGAAGUCUUGGCAACUGAGAAGAGCAAGGCCAGAUCAUCUCAAAAGAUCCUCAAUCUGCAAAUGAUGCUCAAGGACCAGUGA